GUGGUAAAACUAGCCUUCCAAGCUAACGA
rnacentral:tRNA from 1 species